AUACGUAAGGAGCGAGCGUCGUCCGGAUUUACUGGGUGUAAAGGGUGCGUAGGCGGCUCUGCAAGUCAGGUGUGAAACCCAUCGGCUUAACUGAUGGACUGCAUUUGAAACUGUGGGGCUUGAGUGGAGUAGAGGCAGACGGAAUUCCUGGUGUAGCGGUGAUAUGCGUAGAUAUCGGGAGGAACACCAGUGGCGAAGGCGGCUGUCUGGACGGUACCUGACGCUCAGGCGCGAAAGCCCGGGGAGCAAACGGGAUUAGAUACCCCGGUAGUCCGGGCCGUAAACGAUGAGUGCUAGGUGUGGCGGGUAUCGACCCCCGCCGUGCCGGAGUUAACGCAAUAAGCACUCCGCCUGGGGAGUACGGCCGCAAGGCUGAA
rnacentral:rRNA from 1 species